rnacentral:rRNA from 1 species
CCUACGGGAGGCAGCAGUGGGGAAUAUUGGACAAUGGGCGAAAGCCUGAUCCAGCCAUGCCGCGUGUGUGAAGAAGGCCUUCGGGUUGUAAAGCACUUUCAGUGGGGAAGAAAGCCUUGGGGCUAAUACCCUCGAGGAAGGACAUCACCCACAGAAGAAGCCCCGGCUAACUCCGUGCCAGCAGCCGCGGUAAUACGGAGGGUGCGAGCGUUAAUCGGAAUUACUGGGCGUAAAGCGCGCGUAGGCGGUCUGAUAAGCCGGUUGUGAAAGCCCCGGGCUCAACCUGGGAACGGCAUCCGGAACUGUCAGGCUAGAGUGCAGAAGAGGAAGGUAGAAUUCCCGGUGUAGCAGUGAAAUGCGUAGAGAUCGGGAGGAAUACCAGUGGCGAAGGCGGCCUUCUGGACUGACACUGACGCUGAGGUGCGAAAGCGUGGGUAGCAAACAGGAUUAGAUACCCCAGUAGUC